rnacentral:rRNA from 1 species
AUUGAACGCUGGCGGCAUGCUUUACACAUGCAAGUCGAACGGCAGCACGGGGGCAACCUUGGUGGCGAGUGGCGAACGGGUGAGUAACAUAUCGGAACAUAUCCGGAAGUGGGGGAUAACGUACCGAAAGGUACGCUAAUACCGCAUAUGCCCUGAGGGGGAAAGGAGGGGAUUCGCAAGAACCUUUCGCUUUCGGAGUGGCCGAUAUCGGAUUAGCUAGUUGGUGAGGUAAAGGCUCACCAAGGCGACGAUCCGUAGCGGGUCUGAGAGGACGACC